rnacentral:rRNA from 1 species
ACAUGCAAGUCGAGGGGAAACGACAUCGAAAGCUUGCUUUUGAUGGGCGUCGACCGGCGCACGGGUGAGUAACGCGUAUCCAACCUGCCCACCACUUGGGGAUAACCUUGCGAAAGUAAGACUAAUACCCAAUGAUAUCUCUAGAAGACAUCUGAAAGAGAUUAAAGAUUUAUCGGUGAUGGAUGGGGAUGCGUCUGAUUAGCUUGUUGGCGGGGUAACGGCCCACCAAGGCGACGAUCAGUAGGGGUUCUGAGAGGAAGGUCCCCCACAUUGGAACUGAGACACGGUCCAAACUCCUACGGGAGGCAGCAGUGAGGAAUAUUGGUCAAUGGACGAGAGUCUGAACCAGCCAAGUAGCGUGCAGGAAGACGGCCCUAUGGGUUGUAAACUGCUUUUAUAAGGGAAUAAAGUGAGUCUCGUGAGACUUUUUGCAUGUACCUUAUGAAUAAGGACCGGCUAAUUCCGUGCCAGCAGCCGCGGUAAUACGGAAGGUCCGGGCGUUAUCCGGAUUUAUUGGGUUUAAAGGGAGCGUAGGCCGGAGAUUAAGCGUGUUGUGAAAUGUAGACGCUCAACGUCUGCACUGCAGCGCGAACUGGUCUUCUUGAGUACGCACAACGUGGGCGGAAUUCGUGGUGUAGCGGUGAAAUGCUUAGAUAUCACGAAGAACUCCGAUUGCGAAGGCAGCUCACGGGAGCGCAACUGACGCUGAAGCUCGAAAGUGCGGGUAUCGAACAGGAUUAGAUACCCUGGUAGUCCGCACGGUAAACGAUGGAUGCCCGCUGUAGGCCUGAAUAGGUCAGCGGCCAAGCGAAAGCAUUAAGCAUCCCACCUGGGGAGUACGCCGGCAACGGUGAAACUCAAAGGAAUUGACGGGGGCCCGCACAAGCGGA